AUUUUGAUAUAGGCACCCAUGUCGCCAAGUGAACUCCGGGUCGCAUUUUGGAGUGUUCAUAUUGAAACCAGUGACACCCAAGAAGUUUUUCUCUUUUCUUUUCAAGCACCCGUGAGAAGCUUAUUGGAGACCCAAAUUUGAUAAGGGCACCCAGCUGCUAUUUUUGCUCGUCCACUUUUUCUUUUCUUCUUAUUUUUCCUUUUCUCCUCGGCCAUUCUGCUUCUCCCUUUUCACUGCCUCGCACUGCAGUAUCAGAACACUGCGAGCUUGGCGCUAAGCUUUUACCAAGUGAAAUUGGAUAUGGAUUUGAAGAGGUAACUUGAUCUGGAGAUGGAAGCACACAUGGGUCUUCAACUAGAAAGAAUUUCUCAACUCUUGAAGCUCGAACUUUGCUGUAUUGCUUCUUCCUGUGAGAAAUUGGGUAAAUACCUUCUCCUCCUGAUUCUACACUUCAACUAAUCGUGGAUGCAUACUGGGUAAUAACUCCUUCUUGUUGUGCUUCUUUGAUUUGGAGAGAAAUUGAUUUUGCUUGUUUUCACUUUCCAUCUUUCUUCAAAAUUUCGGGGCAUUUCUUUUGGUGUCUGCAUAUUCUUCCACUUACUUUGCUGGGAUUGCAUUUUGUGAUUCUCUCCUGAACACUUGGUGAGCUGGGAUUGCAUUUCGUGCUUCUCUCCUGAAUGCCUGGCAUAUCCACGUACUUGAACGUGGCUUCCCAAAAAACGCAAGUGCAAGCGAGGGCUUUGACAGCGAACGCCAUUUCACCACUGGAAUUUGGUGGACAAAGUGAGUCCAGAUUUCUCACAUAGAAGUGAGAGGCUUCUGCUUCACAACUUGGUCUCAGGUUUCUGAUUUCUUUCCUCCUUGCUUGCAGGUUGUUGGAACUACUCCAAGUGAACAUCAAGGGUGAGCUUUCCUCUCCAGACACCAAUUUUGAUGAUUUGUGGUUUGUCUCGCUUGGUCAAUUCCUUGUGUGGCUUGUUUGCAAGUGGUGCAAGGCCAUUUGCAGGGCCGGUCCUAAGUCUUUCAAGACCCCGGGCGAGAAUUAUCUCGGGGCCGCUAAUUUUAAUAUCCGUCUUGUAAAUAGUCUUUGGUUCACAAGGCUUGUCAGAGAUCGAGUGCAAUAAGAUCUAUAUAAAUUCAUGAUUCAAAAUU